CGGGGCGUGGCGCAGCCUGGUUUAGCGCGCUUGACUGGGGGUCAAGAGGUCGCAGGUUCAAAUCCUGUCGCCCCGA
rnacentral:tRNA from 1 species